rnacentral:rRNA from 1 species
GACAGAGGAUGCAAGCGUUAUCCGGAAUGAUUGGGCGUAAAGCGUCUGUAGGUGGCUUUUUAAGUCCGCCGUCAAAUCCCAGGGCUCAACCUUGGACAGGCGGUGGAAACUACCAAGCUGGAGUACGGUAGGGGCAGAGGGAAUUUCCGGUGGAGCGGUGAAAUGCGUAGAGAUUGGAAAGAACACCAAUGGUGAAAGCACUUUACUGGGCUAUCACUGACACUGAGAGACGAAAGCUAGGGGAGCGAAUGGG